CAAAACCAUCACCCCAGAGCACAAGCCUGGACCCCUGAAGCCCCUGAUGACCAGACUUCAGACAAACACCCUGGACCUGACAAAACUGCAAGCUGUCGUUUAGAAAGACCCCACCUAGAGGGUCAAGCGUCCAAGACCCGUCCGACUCCACCCCAUGGAGACCCCAAGAUACUGCGUUACAGGGACCCUCAGGCCAAGGCAUUCCUGCCACCCCAGCUCUACGCCCAUUAUCAGCAGGAAGUAGCCAGAGCGGUCGUCGCCCCACAUCCCUGCCAGCCUUGAGGGUCUUUUCUUCUGAAGGGGGAGAUGGGGAGACAGAUGGGCUAACCAAAAGGUCCAGUCCCUGUUGGGCUGAGAAAGGGUCAGAAGUUUGUUCUCAAUAAAAAUUUGUUUUGUUU